ensembl:lncRNA
AUGAUAGAACAGAUAAGGUUUGACAGUAUUGCUCUUGCUCCUCUCACUGCAUCUCUCACUGCUCCUGCUCCUCUCACUGCAUCUCUCACUGCUCCUGCUCCUCUCACUGCUCUUGCUCCUCUCACUGCAUCUCUCACUGCUCCUGCUCCUCUCACUGCUCCUGCUUCUCUCACUGCUCCUGCACCUCUCACUGCUCCUCUUACUGCUCCUCUCACUGCUCCUGCUCCUCUCACUGCAUCUCUCACUGCUCCUGCUUCUCUCACUGCUCCUGCACCUCUCACUGCUCCUCUUACUGCUCCUCUCACUGCUCCUGCUCCUCUCACUGCAUCUCUCACUGCUCCUGCUCCUCUCACUGCAUCUCUCACUGCUCCUGCUCCUCUCACUGCUCUUGCUCCUCUCACUGCAUCUCUCACUGCUCCUGCUCCUCUCACUGCUCCUGCUCCUCUCACUGCUCCUGCUUCUCUCACUGCUCCUGCACCUCUCACUGCUCCUCUUACUGCUCCUCUCACUGCUCCUGCUCAUCUCACUGCUCUUGCACCUCUCACUGCUCCUGCUCCUCUCACUGCUCAUCUCACUGCUCCUGCUCCUCUCACUGCUCCUCUCACUGCUCCUGCUCCUCUCACUGCUCCUGCUCAUCUCACUGCUCCUCUCAAUGCUCCUGCUCCUCUCACUGCUCCUGCUCCUCUCACUGCUCCUCUCACUGCAUCUCUCACUGCUCCUCUUACUGCUCCUCUCACUGCUCCUGCUCAUCUCACUGCUCUUGCACCUCUCACUGCUCCUGCUCCUCUCACUGCUCAUCUCACUGCUCCUGCUCCUCUCACUGCUCCUGCUCCUCUCACUGCUCCUGCUCCUCUCACUGCUCCUGCUUCUCUCACUGCUCCUGCACCUCUCACUGCUCCUCUUACUGCUCCUCUCACUGCUCCUGCUCAUCUCACUGCUCUUGCACCUCUCACUGCUCCUGCUCCUCUCACUGCUCCUGCUCCUCUCACUGCUCCUCUCACUGCUCCUGCUCCUCUCACUGCUCCUGCUCCUCUCACUGCUCCUCUCACUGCUCCUGCUCAUCUCACUGCUCCUCUCAAUGCUCCUGCUCCUCUCACUGCUCCUGCUCCUCUCACUGCUCCUCUCAAUGCUCCUGCUCCUCUCACUGCUCCUGCUCCUCUCACUGCUCCUCUCACUGCUCCUGCUCCUCUCACUGCUCCUGCUCCUCUCACUGCUCCUCUCACUGCUCCUCUCACUGCAUCUCUCACUGCUCCUGCUCCUCUCACUGCUCCUCUCACUGCAUCUCUCACUGCUCCUCUUACUGCUCCUCUCACUGCUCCUGCUCAUCUCACUGCUCUUGCACCUCUCACUGCUCCUGCUCCUCUCACUGCUCAUCUCACUGCUCCUGCUCCUCUCACUGCUCCUCUCACUGCUCCUGCUCCUCUCACUGCUCCUGCUCCUCUCACUGCUCCUGCUCCUCUCACUGCUCCUGCUCAUCUCACUGCUCUUUCACCUCUCACUGCUCCUGCUCCUCUCACUGCUCCUGCUCAUCUCACUGCUCCUCUCAAUGCUCCUGCUCCUCUCACUGCUCCUCUCACUGCUCCUGCUCCUCUCACUGCUCCUGCUCCUCUCACUGCUCCUCUCACUGCUCCUGCUCCUCUCACUGCUCCUCUCACUGCUCCUCUCACUGCAUCUCUCACUGCUCCUCUCACUGCUCCUCUCACUGCUCCUCUCACUGCUCCUGCUCCUCUCACUGCUCCUGCUCUUCUCCCUGGGCCCCUUGCUCUUACUCUUCCUCGUCCAUACAUUACAGUGUUUGUCUUUUCUGUUUCCAAAAAUAUCACUCUUCAAAGUCCUCCCUUUAUUGUAUAA